GUACGGGAGGCAGCAGUGAGGAAUAUUGCGCAAUGGAGGAAACUCUGACGCAGCGACGCCGCGUGAAGGAUGAAGGCCCUCUGGGUUGUAAACUUCUGUAGAGUGGGAAGAAUUUCCGCCUCUGGCGGAUUGACGGUACCACUAAAGUAAGGGUCGGCUAACUACGUGCCAGCAGCCGCGGUAAUACGUAGGACCCGAGCGUUGUCCGGAAUCACUGGGUGUAAAGGGAGCGCAGGCGGACUUUCAAGUCGAUGGUGAAAUCUUACGGCUCAACCGUAAAACUGCCGUCGAUACUGCUUGUCUUGAGUGUGAAAGAGGGUGGCAGAAUUCAUGGUGUAGCGGUGAAAUGCGUAGAUAUCAUGAAGAAUACCGGUUGCGAAGGCGGCCACCUGGUUCAUUACUGACGCUCAUGCUCGAAAGCGUGGGGAUCAAACAGGAUUAGAUACCCCGGU
rnacentral:rRNA from 1 species